GCGCCUGUAGCUCAGUGGACAGAGCAACCGCCUUCUAAGCGGUUGGCCGCAGGUUCGAAUCCUGCCAGGCGCACCAAGU
rnacentral:tRNA from 1 species